rnacentral:lncRNA from 1 species
GGUACUUUAGGAAUCUUAUUUAGUAUCAUUUAAAUUGGGGGAGGAGGGAAGAUGUUUUACUGCUAGCUUCAUUUUAUUUAUUUUUAUUUUUAUUUUUUUAAGUUUUUUUGAGAUGGAGUCUCACUCUGUUGCAGUGAGCCGAGAUUGUGCCACUGCACUCCAGCCUGGGCGACAGAGCAAGACUCCGUCUAAAAAAAAAAAAAAGAUAUUAAAAUUAAUGACAGGAAGAGUUUGGGUUCAGUUAUAAUUUAAGGGAAAAAACAUUGAGGGGCCUAAUCUACAUUUUGCUCCGGAUCCAAUGAUUUAAUUUUUGGGAAGAAAAAUCCAGUGAUUAAAGUCAUGCAAGGAGAUGGCCUGGGGCUUGCUAAAAGUCAGGUUGCAGUUUCCAUUGCAUUCAAGAAAAUCAGAAAAAUAAAUACAACUUUUAGAAGAAACUAAGUUUUCUCCCAUUCAUGUUUAGCUAUUGGGGGGUCUCAUACUUCUGGACUUGCUUAGACCUAUGCUAUCUAAUAUGGUAGCCUCUGCCCAUCCAUAUGUGGCCACUGAGAACUUGAAAUGUGACUAGUUUGAAUUAAGAUGUGCUGUAACUAAAAUACACCCUGGAUUUCAAAGACUUAAUAAAUAAUGUAAAU